rnacentral:lncRNA from 1 species
ACAAGUUCCAGUUAGGGAACAAGCUUGUUUCACAUUGUUGUGAGCUUGGUGAUGCCAUGGGGCUUCAGGGAGUGGCAGCUUCCUCAUUCCCAGAAUGAGAGGAUCUUAUAAAGCAGUACUUAGUCUCUCCCUAGCUGCUUCUUACUCUUCCUCUCCCAUGGUAUGUGAAGGAACUGGUCCUGUGGAACCAUAGCUGUAGCAUCUCUACAACUCAGGGUAACAGCAGGAUGACUGGGAAGAGUUUCCACGAAGGUCCAGUAUUGUUGUGUACCAGAGGCCAAGGGCCUUGAACCAGACCAACAACUCAUUGCAAUGAACAUUUGCAAGUAAAGCUGAAUGAGAGUAUACUAUAUGAUGUACUACUGCAGCUCCCAGUACCACUAAGAGGAAUGAAGAGGUGUUGGAGAGGUG